rnacentral:lncRNA from 1 species
GAUAGGAUUUUCAUUGGCAAACUGAAUUAUUGGGUGGUCCUAUUCGCAAGCAAUUUGAUAAUUUUCAUCAUCUUCACGCACACAUAGUUCCCCAACUUCCACCUCGAGCACAAGCAAAUCAAGCUCGGUAUCUAAGGCGACAACAUUUGCCGAAGUAGACAUUCUUGUACGCUCAGAAAUCAUCUGAUCACUAACCAUUGUGCAGAUCUGACUCUUGAUGAACACAAUGGACACCAAACUUGAAUAUUUUGUUCAUUUCACCACGAAUAAGUUGUUGAUGAUUGCCUUGAGUAUAGACAUCAGAGAUAACAUGUGCACAUGUUAGGAUUCUUAGUCCAUUACCAUUUGUUGACACCGCAAAUCCAGUUGACUGCCUCUCUCCUGAAUCAUAUGGGAUGGUAAUAAGACCUGAUUUUUUUCUUUUUCUCUUUUAUACGCACAGCCUUUUCAACUUUGUCGUAUUUCUUUUUGGCUGCUUCGUCGAAAUCGUCAUCCUCAUCCUCCCUGCGAAUGUCAACAAGAACACAGAACGUUGAAGGUUUUGCUUCCAUGGCAACCUCCCGCUCUAUCUCUCUGCCAGUGCCAAUAGGUGGAGCUCCUCCCAAGUUUUGGCCAUCAUCCGCCAUUAGCUGAUUAGAAAAGCAACAACAAUCGGCAAGCAUUAGUAUUAGUCUGUCACGUUAAUGUUUUAUUAUAUGGCCCUAAACAUAAUUAAAUAAGUACAAUCGACUAUUUUACCCAAACGCAGCAAUUUAGAAACAAAAUAUAGACAAUACAGCAGCUGUAUAGACAUACAGACAAUCGCACAGUACAGAGGUUAGCCUCAAUAUUCGAUCAUUUUAUUUGACAAAAUGCUUUUCAUUUCUUAAGGAGAGUUAAAACAAGGUUAUUUGCAUACGAUCAACGAUACCAGCCGAAACUAGCAGAAAUACGACAAGUGAGCUUCGGGAGGAAAUUUGACAGGCCCCGAGCUCAUCGAUCGACAUGUCGUAGAGGAUGGCACAGAUCGCUGAAGCCCCGCAAUCGCCAUCGUUCGCUGACCUCCCGGCUCCCGCAGCCGGCCCCCGCCGUUCAGCACUCAGCUGCUCCCUGUGCUGACUGCUGGGCGCGGGCGUUGUCCCACCGAGGCCGACAAGCGUGGCUGAGGGGCGAAGUCGAAGGCCGGAUCCUG